AUUGAACGCUGGCGGCAGGCUUAACACAUGCAAGUCGAGCGAGCGGCGGACGGGUGAGUAAUGUCUGGGAAACUGCCUGAUGGAGGGGGAUAACUACUGGAAACGGUCGCUAAUACCGCAUAACAUCAGAUGUGCCCAGAUGGGAUUAGCUAGUAGGGGGGGUAAUGGCUCACCUAGGCGACGAUCCCUAGCUGGUCUGAGAGGAUGACCAGCCACACUGGAACUGAUACACGGUCCAGACUCCUACGUGAGGCAGCAGUGGGGAAUAUUGCACGAUGGGCACAAGCCUGAUGCAGCCAUGCCGCGUGUGUGAAGAAGGCCUUCGGGUUGUAAAGCACUUUCAGCGAGGGGGCGUUACUCGAAGAAGAAGCACCGGCUAACUCCGUGCCAGCAGCCGCGGUAAUUC
rnacentral:rRNA from 1 species